UACGUAGGGACCGAGCGUUGUCCGGAAUCAUUGGGCGUAAAGAGCGUGUAGGCGGCCAAUUAAGUCCUGCGUGAAAUCUCGGGGCUCAACCCCGAGCGGUCGUGGGAAACUGGUUGGCUAGAGUCCGGAAGAGGAGAGUGGAAUUCCUGGUGUAGCGGUGAAAUGCGCAGAUAUCAGGAAGAACACCCGUGGCGAAGGCGGCUCUCUGGGACGGUACUGACGCUGAGACGCGAAAGCGUGGGGAGCGAACAGG
rnacentral:rRNA from 1 species